ACAUGACCACUCAUAAAUUAAGACAGUUUGUUGUGAAUUCAAACCUGAAAGCUGAAGUCCACAGCAAAAUUAUUAAUAAAGUCAAUAAAAUUAUGUUUGCCCUUAACAACUUAAAAACAAACAUUAUCAUUUCUCAUAAGAUCUGGAUUUAAUAACUAACUUCUUCAUAUGCCUUUAAGUGCUGACAAAUUUCAGCUCAUAGCCAUCUCUUUAUGGAGCCAAAGAAACCAAAUCUCCUCCCAUGUUGAAAUGUCACAAUAUAUAAAAGUGUGUUUCCAAACUCUUUUCAAUAAAAUUCAUUAUUAUAGCUUCCUUACCCUUCAUAUUUCAAUUUUAUUAUCAAGACUUAACAAACAAUGAUCUCUUUCUACAUAACAGUGUGUUUGAAGUUACAAGUCUGCCACUACUUUCAUGAAAUCACAAGAAAGCAAUUGCCACAGGAAAUAUUAAAUUUGAUCUAGUGUGCAAAUAUCAUUUUAGUUCCUAAUCUAAAUCAAGCUUACUCACCAUCCAGGAAUGGAAUUUUACUAUGUAAAAUAAAAUGUAUGUUAAAAGCAACAAAUUUUAAUAUUGGGUGGCCAAAACAGACACACCUGCUUAGAUUUUAGCUUUAGUGAAGAUACCAAUUCCAAAUAAUGUCAACAAAAUACGUAAGAAUUUUGUGACUCUGUUGAUUCAUCAGAGUGAUCUUUUUUUAAGCACACAAUGGAUGGAAAGCCAGAUGUUUUUAAUCUGGGAAGCUGCAAUAUUACUGCAUUGUGAAGCCAGCAGACUGGAAGGAAGAGAAUAACCCAAUGGGCAAAAUCCCAGAAUUUAAAUCGUUUGAUCUUUCACACAUACCAAACAGAUUUUCCUGUGCUUCGAAAGCUCUUCCACGUUGUCAGAGGUACUUGUUUUCAGACUGCAUGGAAGUAAGGGAACUCUAUAAUAUCCUUUGUUCUAAAGUUAGAACAUUUGAAAGAAACAAUGUUCUCUUUUAAAAAUGGGACCUUCCUGCACACAUCAUUUCAGGUGAAAGCAACAUGAAACAAACAUAUAGAAGAGCUACUUUUGCCCUUUCCAUUAUGAGGUCUUAUUUUGCGAUGGAGAUAACAGUUUUCCAAAAAAGAUACAGUCAGACCAGCAAAAGAGUUGAGCCUCUCUAUUCCAACACUCUUGGGACCUAACCGAUGCCAAAUCAGAGAAUUUGCCAAGCAUGGGAGAAUCCCAACUGUCUCUCUGGAGGAUCUGAGCUGUGAUGUUCCAGAAGGAUGAAGACUGAACCUCAGCUCUCUGUUCCCACAUCAGAAAAAUAAUAUGUCAAAUUCAAGACUGUCAAAAUGAAUUUGUAGACUGUUUUGAAAACAUGGUCCGAUGUUUAUAACAGCCCUUAAUAACAUAUUUCUUCUCCUAUGCACCUAAAUAUAUGUUAGAAAUAAUUAUAUCAAACUACCCGGCCAAGGAGUUACUCUCCCCCUUGAUCCUGUACUUGCUGACAUAAGAAGAGAAACAAUAUGUGUAAUAACAGAAGUAUAAGUAGGUAUUCUUUACCAGUAUUUCUCAACAAAUAGUCUGUGAAUUGGUACUGGUCUCUGAGAUCUCCCUGACAAAGUUUCAGAAGGCAGAAAGCCAGUCCAGGUUAAAAAAAAAAGUUGAAAACACACCAUUCUGUGUAAUGAUAAUGAUUAUCAUUACCACCAGCGUGGUUCAAGUAAGCACUGUGGACAAACUCAAACUGUAAGAAUUUGUCUUCUGCUCAAUUACCUAAUCCUUGUCAAUGAAGUCAAUUUGCUUACCUGUGGGGCAGUCCUUAUGAAGAUUAUAGCAUGUCUCUUUAAAAAUAUUGUAUCUCUGAGGAAUACAUGGUAUACAUCUGUACAAGGAACUGCCUUUGCUGUACAGGCCUGCCUUUGUUAUUUACUGAAGAUAAAUGUUAUUGUUUGAAUUAUUAUGAAGAGAAUAUAUGUUUUUAAAUACCCAGAGUGAAGUGUUCAGGGACUGAAAAUAGUUAUGAUUUUCUGGGUCUUUCAGUAUAUUUUAAAAUUUGUCUUCAGAUGGGACAAGUCCAGGUUUCCUCACUGCUAUAUGUACUGAACUUUAAUACAUUUACACUUUGAGGGGAUAUUUGUAGACAAGAAUUACAGUUCAGAUUAAAUACAACGUCUCCUCAAAUGGAAUUCACCAAGGAGUAGCGGGGCCUGUGCCUUACUCUCCAAACCAUCGAAUGCAAGUGGAUCUGAGUGACUGGGAGGGAUUUCUAUGCCCCGCACCUACCCCAGUGUAUAGAGAUGGGGCAGGAGAUGCAUCUUGCUAUUCUAUCAAUGAAAAUAUUCCAACAAAAGAAGACAGUGAGGAUGGAUUUAGAACGGGCUAGGGGAAUCUGUACAUCUGUGGGCCCAGUGGCUAAGACCCUACAGAAGUGCAACAAGGCAGUUGCCAAUGUUUCAGAUAAGAGGAACAGGGGCCACAGACGGCUGCCCAGUCAGAAUGCUCCAUCUCUAGCUUCCACAUUGGAUGUUGGAAGUUCACCUCAAUUAGUUGGUUGGGACACAAUUGCACAGUUUGCUAAGGCAGCCAGGAGCUAAGUCACUAAACAGCAAGAGUAAAGCCAACAGCAAGAGCUGCAUUUGGAAAUGAACUGGAUAUCAGUACAGAUUAUGGAGCAUAUGUGUAAUAAACAGGUAAACUUCAUUUUGCACUAGGUGAAUAUACAGGCAGUCCCCGGGUUACGUACAAGAUA